rnacentral:miRNA from 1 species
AAACGUGUCGGGCUUUAAACGGGC